CUCAAGGUAACGUCUGUGACGUCAUACACAACGCGCAAUUGAAAACUAUACUAGCAACGCUUAAUAAAGUCGAAUGGGAACAAAAGUAAAAGAUGAUUGUGCAUAUAGGUGAGAAGAUAUAUACGGAAGCUGAUAUAUGCGGAUGAUGGUUUGAACGGAUGAAAGUUUAUACUGAUAAUGAUAUUAUCUACGGAUGAUAUUAUCAACGGACGAUGGUAUAUGCGGAUGAGAUAUCUACGGAUGAUGGUAUGAACGGGGCGUGGGUAUCUACGGAUGAUGAUAUUUACGGAAGAUGGUAUAUGCGGAUGAUGGUAUCAUCAAAUGAGGGUUUAUACAGACGGUGGCAUAUACGGAAAAUUGUUAAUGUGGAUGAUUUUAUCUAUGUAUGGUGAUAUCAACGGUGACUAUACAUACGGAUGGCGGUAUGUAUUAAUGUUGUUAUCUACGGAUGCUCGUAUCGACGGAUGACUGCAUCUACGGAAAAUGGCCUCUACGGAGGAUGACAUCUACAGACGAUGCUAUCUACGGAUGUAGCUUUGUACGGAUGAUAUCAACAUGAUCAUGAUUUCUAAGAUGAUUUUAUCUACGAAUGCUGGUCUCUUCGGAUGAUGGUAUAUAAGCAUGAUGGUAACUAAGGAUGAUAGUAGCCACGGAUGAUAAUAUCUCAUGAUAUCCACAUAUGAUGGUAUCUAAGGAUCACGGUAUCUAAAGAUGAAUGUGUCUAUGGAACAUGAUAACGCCAUAUAAGCACAAAUCAUGGUCGCUACGGAUGAUAAUAACUCAUGAUAUCUACAUAUGCUAGUAUCUUAGGAUCACAGUUUCUACAGAUCAAUGUGUCUAUGGAGAAUGAUAUCGCCAUAUCAUGGUAUCAACGGAUAAUUGUAAGCACGAAUCAUGGUAUCUACGGAUCAGGAUAACUAAGUAUCAAUGUAUCUAUGGAUAUCAGGGUAUCUCCGGACCACGAUAUCUAUGAAUCAUGUUAUCUACGGAUCAUGGUAAUUCCAGAUCAUGGCAAUUGCGGAUCAUGGUAUCAACGGAUCAUGAUAUAUACGAAAGAUGGUAUCUACGGUUUAAGGUCUGUACGGAUAAUAGUAUAUAAGGAUCCUGGUGUAUGUUGAUCGUGGUAUCUAAGGAUGAUGCUAUUUGACGACCAUGGUAUCUAAGGAUCAUGGUAUUUAAGGAUCACGGUACAUGCGGGUCAUGGUAACACAGGAUCAUGAUAUCUACGGAUCAUGGUUUCUACGAAUAACGGUAUCUUCAAAUAAUGAUAUCAAGGGACCAAGGUAUCUAUGAAACUGAUUUCUACGGGUCAUGGUAUGUAAGUAUCAGGAAGUGAAAGGUUAGGUAUCUGCGGAUCAUGAAUCAAAUGUUCAAGGUAACUUCGGAUCAUGGUAUCUUCGGAACAUGGCAUAUUAUCUACGGUUGGUAUCUAAGGAACAUGAUAUCUAAGGACGAUUGUUUAUACGGAUCAUGGUAUAUGCGGACCAUGGUAUCUACGCAUCAUGGUAGCUACGAAUGAUGCUAUAGACGGAUAUUGUUAUCUAUGGAUCAUGGUAUGGUCGGAUCUUGGGGCAACUACGAAUCAUAAAAUUAUUAUUGUAUCUCCGGAUCAUGUUAUGUAUCUACGAGUUAUGGUAUCUACGGAACGUGAUCUCUAAUGAUCAUGGUACCUAAGGGUCAUGGUUGUUAAGGAUAAUUGUAUCUACGGAUCAUUUUAAAUACGGAUUAGUGUAUCUGUCGAUCAUGGUAGCUAUGAAUUGCAAUAUCUACGGUUCAUAGUCACUACGGAUCAUGCUAUGGACGGAUCAUGCGGCAUCUUCAGUUCAUAGUAUUUACGGACAGGUGAAUCUACGUAUCAUGGUAUCUACGGAUCAUGGAAUCUACGAAUCAUGGUAUCUAUGGAUUAUGGUAUCUACAUAUCAGUAUAUAUAGGAUCACGGUAGCUUUCCAUCAUGGUAUCUACGGAUCAUGGUAUCUUCGAAUCAUCAUAUGAACGAUUCAUUUUAUUUAUCAAACAUCGUUUUAUCAUUAUUUACCAUGGUAUUUCCAAACAGCGAAUCAGGUAUUGACUUACAUUUCAGCGUGCGGCGCCAUAUUGUAAAUGAGUUUAUGCGAGCGCCAGCCGUGGGUUUCACGGAAACGCAGAAGGGAAAACGCAUGCGAUAUACUAGUAGAUAACGUUGAAAAAUGCAAACGAUAAGAACAAAAUUGGAUAACGCUGUUUUUUAAAUAUUUUUUGUUCUUAUUAUUAUUUAUAAGUUUAAUUUUUAUUAUUUAUUUCCUUGUUGUUGUUUUUUUUUUCAAAUUCGCGGCUGCAAUAUCAAUUCUAUUUAAUUGCUUUAUGAUACCAGUGGUGUAUGGGAUGUUCAGCGUAGAGUUAGUACUUUGUCGCUUGACAGCAGUUCCCUCGGAAAGUAAGGAACCAUUGGUUUUAACCUGACACUCUACUUUCACUUCUGGUUCGAAACAGUUAACCCAACCACACCAUGGUACCCGCUUCUGUUGGCGGGUAAAGGGGACUGGCACGACUCUAGGAGAGGAGACGAGCGCCGCUAAGAUUGCUUUAAGCCCAGUGAAAAGAAAUGACAAGAAAAAAAGCAGAUUACAAAGCCGGAUCGGUCGGGGCCCGGAAUAACAACGACCGCGCACUUCAUCGCAAGAAUCCAGGGUGGAUGCGAUCAAGAUCCAUCGAUCAAGUUGGCUACAAAGGUAACAACCAUAGGAACAUUGAACAUAAGAACACUCAAUGCGUGCGGCAAGGUCCAUGAACUGACGCAAGAGCUGAAGCAAUACCGCUGGGACAUCUUUACAUCGGACUAGCCGAGAUUUGGUAGCUAGGAGAAACAUCAACAGACGAAUGGCAUAAGGUAUGGGUCAGCGGUGAGGAUUCUAUACAUCGCCACGGGGUUGCUUUCAUCGUUAGGAAGGAGGUAGUCAACAGCGUGAUCAGUUGCAACCCAGCCUCAAACAGGCUCAUUUGAAUCCGUUUAUCAGCGAAACCUCACGACUUCACAAUCAUCCAGGUCUGCGCACCAACAGCUGAAUUCAAAGACGAUGAGAUUGUACAGUUCUAUGAAGAAUUCGAGCGCAUCAUAGCCAAGGUCCUCAAGAAAGACAUCCUCAUUGUCCAGGGCGACUGGAACGCCAGUGUUGGACCAGAUGCAUUCCAAGACUGGUCAGGGACAGGAGGUAGAUUUGGCUUAGAUAAGACAUAUGAUAGAGGUUUGAUACUUCAUCAGUUCGCCAGAAGCAACCAACUCACCCUGGCCAACACGCUGCACCAGCACAAACCGUCUAUAACAACGACCUGACAUGCUCCAAAUGGGCAAGUAAAAAACCAGAUCGAUUUUAUACUGGCGCCGAAAUGGUUCAAGUCUAGCAUUAAAAAGGCGAACACAAGAACGUGUCCUGGCGCAGACAUCAGCAGUGAAUGUGACUUAGUGCUCAACACCAUAAAGCUGAAGUUAAAUAGCAAGCGCAUUACAAAGAACCAUCGAAUUAGAUUUUACUUUAAAAAAAAAUAUCCAGUGAUAGUAGAUGUAUUUCAAGCACAGACAGGUGGCAAGUUUGCAGCACUGAACAUAUUAGACAAUGACAUUGACGCCAUCGACAAUACAAUCAAGGAUAUCCUACUGUCCUAAGACAGUACGAAUACCUACUUGAUUACUGGUAACGUGUAAAAUCAAAAAGCAUAUGGGUAAAACAAGACAUUCGUGUACUUUUAUGUCUAGAAUAACAUGUCUACACUUCGUUUAUUAAAUAUGAUUUCAUAAAAUAAAACUUAAAGAACGUAAAACUGUGUCCAUUCCUCUGACUAAAGCAUACAGUGCGAAAAAUAUUCGUGCGCGUAAGACCAUUAUCGGAAGGAAGAACGUAAUGACGUGCACCCAAGGUAACGUCUGUGACGUCAUAAACAAACGUGCAAUUGAUAACGAUACUAGCAACGCUUACAGGCACAAUUAAAAUCUGCGGAAAUCAUGAGUCUAUUAAAAAAUAUAAAGUCGGAUGGCUAUAAACGUAGAAGUAUUCCAGACCGAAGUGAAAAGUACCCAUCGAAAUAAUGCGGAUCCUUACGAUUUGUACUAUAAGAUUGACAGACCAAGCUAUGAAAAUAGUACAAGUUCAAUUUCAAGCAAUACGUGUCAGCGGCGAACACAGAUAGAGUAUACACAAGAGAGAGUAGCUCAUUGUGCGGCGUCUUUUUAGAAGAGGAGAAGACAUACAUCCUGUCAGGGCGUGUGAAUAAAGAAAAGCAGCGGAUGGAAAUCAGCAUUUGUUCAUCGUGGGUUGAGGCGCCAAUCAGCGCAGAGUCGCAGCAGCUGCUGAUGCAGUUCAAACAUGAGACCGCUGUGUGUCCGCAGUGAGCUGCAGCACAAACGAAGAAAUACAUAUGGACACGCUUUGCUAAAUUAAUUGUACAGUACUGAACAGUGUACAAUUUGCUUACAUGUCCAAGUAAACGAAAGCAAACGACACAUUGUCUUUAUAACUAUAUUGAAGUCAUCCUUGCAUUUUUUUCGAGGAUCAUACAUAUUUUAUACAUACUUCGAUCAGAAUGUUCCAAUCGUUUUCGAAUAGUACAUGCACGAAGGCGACCAAAUUGGUAAGAACAUCUCUUGAAUCGUAUAAAUUUGUUUGGAUUAGUGGUUAUUCAUUAUAUACACGUAUUUAUAUCCACGACAAGAAAAAAUGAUUGUCUGAACAGC